CACGUAGGCACCAAGCGUUGUCCGGAUUUAUUGGGCGUAAAGAGCUCGUAGGCGGUCUGUCGCGUCGGCUGUGAAAACUCGGGGCUCAACCCCGAGCCUGCAGUCGAUACGGGCAGACUUGAGUGCUGUAGGGGAGACUGGAAUUCCUGGUGUAGCGGUGAAAUGCGCAGAUAUCAGGAGGAACACCGGUGGCGAAGGCGGCGUCCUGGACCAACACUGACACUGAUGAGCGAAAGCCAGGGGAGCAAACGGG
rnacentral:rRNA from 1 species